rnacentral:rRNA from 1 species
GUGAAUCGCAGACUGCUUUGAACAUCGACCUCUUGAACGCAAAUUGCGGCCGUAGGCUUGCCUAUGGCCACGUCUGGCCGAGGGUCGGCUUAUAAACUAUYACGACGCGUAAAAAGUCGUGGCUUGGAAGGUUGCCGGCGGGCGUUAAACUCUUAUUCAGUUCGAGAGAAGCCUGACAGCGACGGCUCCUUCUUAAUGUGGCUAUAUAAAGCACCAGUUGCCUUGUUAACGCGAAGCUUAUGGUAAUGUGUGUGUGUGUGCAUGUAAGUGUACAGUGCAUACAAGCCUUGCAUUAUUCUGUGUCUGUGUGUGUAAAAUGCUGGCUACAUUGGCCGUGGCUCAGUGUGUGUAUUUUUGUAGAGUAGCACGCCUGUUUCCAGCAUUGAUGCAAUGACUUGUAAGCUUGUGCACGAAUUGCUAUAAGCCUGAGUGUGAGGUGACGACCCAUUUGUAAACAUGGAGAGGGCUUCUUUCCAUUGUC